rnacentral:lncRNA from 1 species
GAAAUCGUCCUGGGAGAUCCGUGUGUUGUCUGUUUUACUCCGAGUUUGUCUCACAGGCAUGCUACAGCCUUGUCACUUGUAAUUGAUCAUCUGUGAGCAAUUGAGAGGUCAACGACAGGUAGUUGUUUCUGGGCAGUGGCUGGAAGGAGUGCUGGAGUUCGCGUAUACAGAAGGCGCCACACAAAGGUCUUGCCAACUUGGCCAGGCUGGGCUUGAAGUUGGGCUCUUCCUGCCUUCUCCCAGAGUGCUGAGAUUGCUGAGAUUACAGGGCUCAACAGUCCCAAGGCCUGGAUGGUUCUCCUAGCAGCUGGACUCCCUGGAAUGGUUGAUUUGUUGGCCCGGUCACCAGAUAUCCUGGGACGGUGAAGAUGAGAGGAUAUGGCUCUAGGGAGCUCUUCCAGUGUUUGCCUAGGGCUGAAAAAGGAAAAUUGCACCAGGCAGUGAAGUCAGCAUGGAAGACUAUUUUUAAGACUACUGCAAUUGAGGGAUUGAAUUCGGGACCUUGUGCUUUCGAGGCAGGUGCUGGAACCACUGAGCUAAAUCCCCGGCCCCCGCCAUGAUGUUUCUGCCUCACCACGGGCUCAGAAGCAAUGAAGCCAGGUGACCAUGGACUGAAACCUCUGAAACCAUGAGCCAAAAUAAAUCUUUCCCCCUUUGCAUUGUUAUUUUCAAGUGUUUUGUCACCUGACUAACACGGGGAUCACAAGUGAGGGGAUUCUUGCUUACCUUGCUCAGCAGCCUGACAAACCAAUAAGGAGGUCUGGCUCAGAAGACUCAAGUAAAAUCUGGCUGAAGAGGGAGGGAGUCCUUGUCAGCCCCUGCCUCAUUCUACAUGCAAGACGCUGGGACUGUGUCUGUUUGCUCCUGGGAUCCCUGGCCUCCUGGACUGUGAGCUUAGGCCAGUGAUAUCUCUUUAUUUUGCAUAGUGCUGACUGUAGGUGAGUCCUUAAAGGCUGCUCACUCCCUAACACUUUGGGAGACAAAAUUGCAUUGUAGUUAAGAGCACAGGCUGGGCCGGGGAUUUAGCUUAGUGGUUCCGCAGCCUGCCUCGCAAG